AUCAGCUUAUCUAGUAUACAAAUCCUCUUGGUAUUUUUCUUGGGAUCAUGUUAAAAUAUAGAUAAACAAACAUAACUAUUACACUUAUGAAGUUAAUUUUUGUAUCUAAGAGCUUUAUGUGUUUUCCUGUUUGUUGAAAAAUUCCUUCUUGUCCCUUAGUAUUUCAAUGUUUUCUGCAUGCAGAUUUUAAAUGCUUCUUUAUCACUAAAUAGUUUAUUUUCUGUUGCUAUUGUAAAUAAGGUCUUCUCUAUUAUGUCUUCUGGUUGGUUAUUUUUAUAUUCUAAAGCACCAGAUUUGUAUUGGUAUUUGGCAUUAAUUUCAUACCCAGGUACUUGACUGAAUUCACUUAUUUAUUUAGAUUUUUAAAUUGAUUAUGGGUGGAAAUUCUAGUAUACAAUUAUAUCUAAAUAACAAUGAUUUUACCUUCUUUCCAAUGUUUAAACAUAUAUUUCUCUCAUUGAAUUUUUUUUUUUUUAAGACAGAAUUUCGCUCUUGUCGCACAGCUGGAGUGCAAUGGCAGGCUGGAGUGCAAUGGCACCGUCUCAGCUCACUGCAACCUCCACCUCCCAGAUUCAAGCAAUUCUCCUGCCUCAGCCUCCCAAAUAGCUGGGAUUAUAGGCAUCCACCACCAUGCCUGGGUAAUUUUUGUAUUUUAGUAGAGACGGGGUUUCACCAUGUUGACCAGGCUGGUUUUCUCUCAUUUAAUUAUAUUGCUUUGUAGCAGGAUGGGCUGCAGGCAAAACUCCUCAGACACCGGCUGAAAGAGGGAAGAGGCUUUAUUUAGCUGGGAACCUUGGCAGACUUGCAUCUCAAGAACCAAGCUCCCUGAAGAAAAAAUUCCUGGCCUUUUUGAGAGGGACAGGAAACAGUAAGAGAAAUGGCGUAUCUCCUCAGCUUAAGAUAGUACUUGCCAGGCAGGGUGGCUCACACCUGUAAUCCCAGCACUUUGGGAGGCUGAGGUGGGUGGAUCAUGAGGACAGGAGUUCAAGACCAUCCCGACCAACAUGGUGAAAACCCCAUCUCUACUAAAAAUACAAACAUUAGGUGGGCGUGGUGGCACGCGCAUGUAAUCCCAGCUACUCAGGAGGCUGAGGCAGGAGAAUUGCUUGAACCUGGGAGGCGAAGGUUGUAGUGAGCCGAGAUCGCGGCAUUGCACUCCAGCCUGGGCAACAGAACAAGACUCCAUCCCCCCACCAAAAAAAAAGUGCUUAUCUUGUCCAUAACUUAGCAGGAGUGUUUCAAUAUUACAUCCACGCUGUUUCCAUAUUAAACAGAUUCUUUGUGGUUGAGAUAAAUAUAUUUCAUUAUGCUAACAACGUAUUUGUAUACUCCUGUUAAGAACUUACAUCAAGUAUGAAUAUGGAAUUUUUCCAAUGUCUUUGAUAGCUUUUUUAGACAUGAGUAGUUAUGUGCUGCAUGACGAUGUUUUGGUAACAAUGGACCAUGUAUACCGUGGUGGUCCCAUAAGAUUAUAAUGGAGCUGAAAAACUCCUAUCACCUAGUGCUAUCAUAGCCAUCAUAACACAAUGCAUUACUCACGUGUUUGUGAAGAUGUUGGUGUAAAGAAACCUACAGAACUGCCGGUCAUCUAAAAGUAUAGCACAUACAAUCAUGCACAGCACAUAAUGAAAGGCUUGAUAAUAAAGGGAUAUGUUAUUGGCUUAUGUAUUUACUAUCCUAUAUUUUUCAUUGUUAUUUUUGAGUGUACUCCUGCUUUGCGGUGUCUCACGCCUGUAAUUCUAUCACUUGGGGAGGCCAAAGCCGGCGGAUCACUUGAGGUCAGAAGUUUGAGCCUGACCUGGCCAACAUGGUGAAACUCCGUCUCUAUUUAAAAUACAAAAAUUAGCCAGGUAUAGUGGCGAAUGCCUGUAGUCCCAGCUACUUGGGAGGCUGUGGCAGGAGAAUCGCUUGAACCCAGGAGGUGGAGGUUGCAGUGAGCUGAGAUCACACCAUUGCACUCCAGCCUGGGCAACAGAGCAAGACUGCAUCACAAAAAAAAGGAAAGAAAGCUGUAGAAUAGCCUCAGGCAGGACCUUUAGGAGUUAUUCCAGAAGAAGGCAUGUUAUUACAGGAGAUGACAAGCUGUAGGAGUGGAAGGCAGUGAUACCGAUCAUCCUGGCCCUGUGUAGGCCUAGGCUAAUGUGUGUGUUUGUCUUAGUUUUUAGCAAAAAAUGUUUUAAAAGUAAAAACAUAAAAAAUAAAAAUUUUAAAAAACAUGAAAAAGCUUAUAAAUAUGUUUGCACAGCUAUGCAAUGUUUUCAUGUUUUAAGCUUUUAUUACAAAAAAGUUUAAAAAAUUAAACUCGAUAAAGUAAGUUACAGUAGCCAAAGGUUAAUUUAUUAUUGAAGAAAGAAAAAUUAUUGUUUAUACAUUUAGCAUAGCCUGCGUGUACAGUGUUUAUAAAGUCUAUACCCAUGCCCAGUAAUGUCCUGGGCCCUCACACUCACUCCCCACUCACUCGCUCACUCACCCAGAGCCACUUCCAGUCCUGCAAGCUCCAUCCAUGGUGAGUGCUCUGUGAAGGCGUUCGUUCUUUAUCUUUUGUACCAUAUUUUUACUGUACCUUUUCUAUGUUUAGCUAUAUUUAGAUAUACAAAUACUUAGCAUUGUAUUACAGUUGCUUACAGUAUUGAGCACAGUCACAUGUUGCACAGGUUUGUAGUCUAGGAGCAGUAGGCCAUACCUAUAGGCCAGACCAUAGAUCCUAGGUGUGUAGAAGGCUCUACCAUCUAGGUUUGCGUAGGUACAUGCUAUGAUGUUUGCACAAUGACAAAAUUGCCUGACACAUUUCUCAGAGCAUAUCUCCAUCAUUAAGUGAUA
rnacentral:lncRNA from 1 species